rnacentral:rRNA from 1 species
UGGGGAAUCUUGGACAAUGGGCGCAAGCCUGAUCCAGCCAUGCCGCGUGAGUGACGAAGGCCUUAGGGUUGUAAAGCUCUUUUGGCGGGGACGAUAAUGACGGUACCCGCAGAAUAAGCCCCGGCUAACUUCGUGCCAGCAGCCGCGGUAAUACGAAGGGGGCUAGCGUUGUUCGGAAUUACUGGGCGUAAAGCGCACGUAGGCGGAUUGAUAAGUUAGAGGUGAAAUCCCGGGGCUCAACCUCGGAACUGCCUUUGAUACUGUUAGUCUCGAGUCCGAUAGAGGUGAGUGGAAUUCCUAGUGUAGAGGUGAAAUUCGUAGAUAUUAGGAAGAACACCAGUGGCGAAGGCGGCUCACUGGAUCGGUACUGACGCUGAGGCGCGAAAGCGUGGGGAGCAAACAGGAUUAGAUACCCAAGUAGUCCCUGAG